rnacentral:rRNA from 1 species
CCUACGGGAGGCAGCAGUGAGGAAUAUUGGUCAAUGGUCGGGAGACUGAACCAGCCAAGCCGCGUGAGGGAGGAAGGUACAGAGUAUCGUAAACCUCUUUUGUCAGGGAACAAAGACUGGGACGCGUCCCCGGAUGAGUGUACCUGAAGAUACAGCAUCGGCUAACUCCGUGCCAGCAGCCGCGGUACUACGGAGGAUGCGAGCGUUAUCCGGAUUUAUUGGGUUUAAAGGGUGCGCAGGCGGUCUGUAAAGUCAGCGGUAAAAGCCCGGGGCUAAACCCAGGCCCGCCGUUGAAACUGGCAGUCUCGAGUUGGAGAGAAGUAUGCGGAAGGCGCGGUGUAGCGGUGAAAUGCAUAGAUAUCGCGCAGAACUCCGAUUGCGAAGGCAGCAUGCCGGCUCCACACUGACGCUGAGGCACGAAAGCGUGGGUAUCGAACAGGAUUAGAUACCCCUGUAGUC